rnacentral:rRNA from 1 species
GAUGAACGCUGGCGGCGUGCUUAACACAUGCAAGUCGAACGAUUGAAGCUGGAGCUUGCUCCGGCCGAUUUAGUGGCGGACGGGUGAGUAACGCGUGGGUAACCUGCCUCAUACAGGGGGAUAGCAGUUGGAAACGACUGGUAAAACCGCAUAAGCGCACGGUGUCGCAUGACACAGUGUGAAAACACUCCGGUGGUAUGAGAUGGACCCGCGUCUGAUUAGCUAGUUGGUGAGGUAACGGCCCACCAAGGCGACGAUCAGUAGCCGGCCUGAGAGGGUGAACGGCCACAUUGGGACUGAGACACGGCCCAAACUCCUACGGGAGGCAGCAGUGGGGAAUAUUGCACAAUGGGGGAAACCCUGAUGCAGCGACGCCGCGUGAGUGAUGAAGUAUUUCGGUAUGUAAAGCUCUAUCAGCAGGGAAGAUAAUGACGGUACCUGACUAAGAAGC